GAGGAGCUGCUCCUAGUACGAGAGGACCGGAGUGGACAGACCUCUGGUGUGCCAGUUGUCAUGCCAAUGGCAUCGCUGGGUAGCUACGUCUGGCAAGGAUAACCGCUGAAAGCAUCUAAGCGGGAAGCCUGCCUCAAGAUAAGAUCCCUCUGUCCGUAAGGACUUAAGAUCGCAGAUAGACUAUCUGUUAUAUAGGCAGCGUGUGUAAGCGCAGUAAUGCGUUGAGCUAAGCUGUACUAACGAUUGAGGGCUGAUC
rnacentral:rRNA from 1 species